CUACAGGCUUAACACAUGCAAGUCGAGGGGCAGCAUGGUCUUAGCUUGCUAAGGCCGAUGGCGACCGGCGCACGGGUGAGUAACACGUAUCCAACCUGCCGUCUACUCUUGGACAGCCUUCUGAAAGGAAGAUUAAUACAAGAUGGCAUCAUGAGUCCGCAUGUUCACAUGAUUAAAGGUAUUCCGGUAGACGAUGGGGAUGCGUUCCAUUAGAUAGUAGGCGGGGUAACGGCCCACCUAGUCUUCGAUGGAUAGGGGUUCUGAGAGGAAGGUCCCCCACAUUGGAACUGAGACACGGUCCAAACUCCUACGGGAGGCAGCAGUGAGGAAUAUUGGUCAAUGGGCGAGAGCCUGAACCAGCCAAGUAGCGUGAAGGAUGACUGCCCUAUGGGUUGUAAACUUCUUUUAUAAAGGAAUAAAGUCGGGUAUGGAUACCCGUUUGCAUGUACUUUAUGAAUAAGGAUCGGCUAACUCCGUGCCAGCAGCCGCGGUAAUACGGAGGAUCCGAGCGUUAUCCGGAUUUAUUGGGUUUAAAGGGAGCGUAGAUGGAUGUUUAAGUCAGUUGUGAAAGUUUGCGGCUCAACCGUAAAAUUGCAGUUGAUACUGGAUAUCUUGAGUGCAGUUGAGGCAGGCGGAAUUCGUGGUGUAGCGGUGAAAUGCUUAGAUAUCACGAAGAACUCCGAUUGCGAAGGCAGCCUGCUAAGCUGCAACUGACAUUGAGGCUCGAAAGUGUGGGUAUCAAACAGGAUUAGAUACCCUGGUAGUCCACACGGUAAACGAUGAAUACUCGCUGUUUGCGAUAUACUGCAAGCGGCCAAGCGAAAGCGUUAAGUAUUCCACCUGGGGAGUACGCCGGCAACGGUGAAACUCAAAGGAAUUGACGGGGGCCCGCACAAGCGGAGGAACAUGUGGUUUAAUUCGAUGAUACGCGAGGAACCUUACCCGGGCUUAAAUUGCAGAUGAAUUACGGUGAAAGCCGUAAGCCGCAAGGCAUCUGUGAAGGUGCUGCAUGGUUGUCGUCAGCUCGUGCCGUGAGGUGUCGGCUUAAGUGCCAUAACGAGCGCAACCCUUGUUGUCAGUUACUAACAGGUUCCGCUGAGGACUCUGACAAGACUGCCAUCGUAAGAUGUGAGGAAGGUGGGGAUGACGUCAAAUCAGCACGGCCCUUACGUCCGGGGCUACACACGUGUUACAAUGGGGGGUACAGAGGGCCGCUACCACGCGAGUGGAUGCCAAUCCCCAAAACCUCUCUCAGUUCGGACUGGAGUCUGCAACCCGACUCCACGAAGCUGGAUUCGCUAGUAAUCGCGCAUCAGCCACGGCGCGGUGAAUACGUUCCCGGGCCUUGUACACACCGCCCGUCAAGCCAUGGGAGCCGGGGGUACCUGAAGUGCGUAACCGCGAGGAGCGCCCUAGGGUAAAACUGGUGACUGGGGCUAAGUCGUA
rnacentral:rRNA from 1 species